AUUGAACGCUGGCGGCAGGCCUAACACAUGCAAGUCGAGCGAGCGGCGGCAGGGUGAGGAAUGUCUGGGAAACUGCCUGAUGGAGGGGGAUAACUACUGGAAACGGUAGCUAAUACCACAUACCAUAGGAUGUGCCCAGAUGGGAUUAUCUAGUAGGUGGGGUCACGGCGCACCUAGGCGACGAUCCCUAGCUGGUCUGAGAGGAUGACCAACCACACUGGAACUGCGACACGGUCCAGCCUCCUACGGGAGGCAGCAGUGGGGAAUAUUGCACAAUGGGCGCAAGCCGGAUGCAUCCAUGCCGCGUGUGUGAAGAAGGCCUUCGGGUUGUAAAGCACUUUCAGCGGGGAGGCGUUACCCGCAGAAGAAGCACCGGCUAACUCCGUGCCAGCCGCCGCGGUAAUUC
rnacentral:rRNA from 1 species